UGUUUCGGCUAGGGGGCCAUCCCGGCUUACCAACCCGAUGCAAACUGCGAAUACCGGAGAAUGUUAUCACGGGAGACACACGGCGGGUGCUAACGUCCGUCGUGAAGAGGGAAACAACCCAGACCGCCAGCUAAGGUCCCAAAGUCAUGGUUAAGUGGGAAACGAUGUGGGAAGGCCCAGACAGCCAGGAUGUUGGCUUAGAAGCAGCCAUCAUUUAAAGAAAGCGUAAUAGCUCACUGGUCGAGUCGGCCUGCGCGGAAGAUGUAACGGGGCUAAACCAUGCACCGAAGCUGCGGCAGCGACGCUGAUGCGUUGUUGGGUAGGGGAGCGUUCUGUAAGCCUGUGAAGGUGUGCUGUGAGGCAUGCUGGAGGUAUCAGAAGUGCGAAU
rnacentral:rRNA from 1 species